rnacentral:tRNA from 1 species
GGGUCGAUGCCCGAGUGGCUAAAGGGGGCGGUCUGUAAAAUCGCUGGCUUACGCCUACGCAGGUUCGAAUCCUGCUCGGCCCACCA